GUUGUGGUGUAAAAGGUCCCCGGGUACAAUUUGUGCAGCAGAAAUACGGCACUUCACAGGCUGCUUAGAAACCUAGCAAGUCCCUUGAGCACAAACUAUUUUCCUAAGCUUGGUGGGGGCGUGAGAGGGUGGCCGGGGACUGGUGACAAUGUUGUUUGUGCACUGGGAGAGUCCGGCUGAAUUGCAACUGGCCUUUACAUCCUAAUCAGCUCCCUGAGGACAACCCGAAAGACAUCAGAUUAAAAAGUCACAAUGAGAUAAACCAGCACGACGCGGCUCUCUGCAAAGCGACAGCUUUGCACGGGUAUUUCACACAAAUUCAAGACAUCAUAUGACUUUGCCUGUAGAACCUUCAGAAUGUUCUCUAAUCACUGAAGCUUUCUGAUUUCCCAACACAGAACCACCCAAUCAAAUUAACACUGUCUUAUUAUCAACUUGCUCCAUGAUUAUCAACAAUAAUUUCCUGUUACCAAUAACCAGCCUGUGACCCAUUGUCCAUGAUUAUCUCAAAAAUGUCUUUAAUGGCCCGGCGUGGUGGCUCACGUCUGUAAUCCCAGCCCUUUGGGAGGCUGAGGCGAGCUGAUUGCUUCAGGACAGGAGUUUGAGACCAGCCUGGGCAACAUACCAAGACCUCAUCUCUACAAAAAAUACAAAAAAAUUAGCUGGGCAUGGUGGCACGUACCUGUAGUCCCAGCUAUUUGAAAGGAUGAGGUGGGAGGAUCGCUUGAGCCCAGGUGGUCAAGGUUGCAGUGAACCAUGAUGGCACCACUGCACUCCAGCCUGGGCAAC
rnacentral:lncRNA from 1 species